rnacentral:rRNA from 1 species
UCAAGAAACUUCCACAAUGGGCGAAAGCCUGAUGGAGCGACGUCGCGUGAUGGACGAAGUGCUUCGGCACGUAAACAUCUUUUAUGUGGGAUGAAAUUAUUGACAGUACCACAUGAAUAAGGGGCUCCUAACUCUGUGCCAGCAGGAGCGGUAAUACAGAGGCCCCAAGCGUUAUCCGGAAUCACUGGGCGUAAAGGGUGUCGAGGCGGUUGUAUUAGUCGUUCGUAAAAUCUACGAGCUUAACUUGUAGGCGGCGAACGAAACGGUACGACUUGAGGUUUGGAGAGGUGCGUGGAACUCACGGUGUAGGGGUGAAAUCCGUUGAUAUCGUGGGGAACACCAAAGGCGAAGGCAGCGCACUGGCCAAAAUCUGACGCUCACACACGAAAGCUAGGGUAGCGAAGAGGAUUAGAUACCCCCGUAG